rnacentral:tRNA from 3 species
CAGGUAGCUCAGUCGGUAGAGCAGAGGAUUGAAAAUCCUCGUGUCGGUGGUUCGAUUCCGCCCCUGG